GUCUCAAAGAUUAAGCCAUGCAUGUCUAAGUAUAAGCAACUAUACUGUGAAACUGCGAAUGGCUCAUUAAAUCAGUUAUCGUUUAUUUGAUAGUACCUUUACCUGGAUAACCGUGGUAAUUCUAGAGCUAAUACAUGCUAAAAACCUCGACUUCGGAAGGGGUGUAUUUAUUAGAUAAAAAACCAAUGCCCUUCGGGGCUCCUUGGUGAAUCAUAAUAACUUAACGAAUCGCAUGGCCUUGCGCCGGCGAUGGUUCAUUCAAAUUUCUGCCCUAUCAACUUUCGAUGGUAAGAUAGAGGCUUACCAUGGUCUUAACGGGUAACGGGGAAUUAGGGUUCUAUUCCGGAGAGGGAGCCUGAGAAACGGCUACCACAUCCAAGGAAGGCAGCAGGCGCGCAAAUUACCCAAUCCCGACACGGGGAGGUAGUGACAAUAAAUACUGAUACGGGGCUCUUUUGGGUCUCGUAAUUGGAAUGAGUACAAUCUAAAUCCCUUAACGAGGAACAAUUGGAGGGCAAGUCUGGUGCCAGCAGCCGCGGUAAUUCCAGCUCCAAUAGCGUAUAUUAAAGUUGUUGCCGUUAAAAAGCUCGUAGUUGAACCUUGGGCCUGGCUGACCUGUCCUCCUAAUCGAGCGCACGGGUUCGGUCGGGCCUUUCCUUCUAGGGAACCCCAUGCCCUUCAC
rnacentral:rRNA from 1 species